CCUUAGAACACAACAGAAGCAGCGUAAAUGCAUGGAGAAGAAGAGAAUGAAUUCCAAAACCUAGCUUGAUCUUCUUUCUUUGAUAACUUUUGAUCCGGAGCUCCGAUUGACGAGCCGUUUACGGCCACGCGUCGGGCUCGUUGAGUUCUUCAAUUCUAUUCAAAUAAAACAGUAAGUGAAUCGCUUUUUCCUAGCUCCAUUUCUGCUGGUAUAUGAAUUUCGGGUUUAAGGUUUGAGAAACUCAAUUCCUUGAUGAUUUUCAUGUUUUAGGGGUCCACUAGACUUGAUUUCUUGUGGGUAUUGCCCAAGGAUCAGUGGAUAAAGGUAGUGUGUAUGUGAAUGUUGAUGCUUGUUGGAGGCUUGUUGGUGAUCAAGCUUGGUUUGGGGCUGUUUGAUUGAGCUUGGAGGGGCUGUAAUUUUGAGUUGUGAGGCUGCCUUGGGUGAAUUAAGUGAUCGGCCAAGAUGCAGGUCGAGAGGCUCCUCGCUAGACGUCUGGAUCUUGGGAAGCGAAGUAGUCCUUGGGUGUAUUUUGGUGUUU